GCAAAACGAGCAUCCUUGUAAUGUCUGAAAGGGUUAGGAAUAAAAAUGCUGGAGAAGGGCACAUUUAUAUUUGAAUUGGUGUCACCUGUCUUGGAUUAAGCCCCACAGUGAGCAAUCCAGAGCAGAAUUGUGAAAGCUGGGAUCCUUUGACUUCUCUAGGGGACUUCAUUUUCUUUUCCUCCUCUUCCAGGACCAGAGAAAUGGUUCCACUCCUCCCAUCUUUGCCAAAAGCUGUGGUGUUUGAGGAGCCAGAGCCAAGAGGCUUCAGCACCAGGGGUCUGCACUGGGGGGCUCCCGGUCCUGACCGCGCAGGGUUCCCCUUUUCCUCCCCGCUGGGAUGAAGUGUCUAUGGAAUCUGGGAUCUGGGUGAAACUGCAGCUCUGCUGGUAUCCAGGGACGUGAGGUUCCGGGGGACUGCGUUUCCCUGUGGCUUUCCAGGUCGGCAGGAGCCGGAGGAAAUGGGGUGCCAGAGCCGUGCCCCAUCAGGCCGUGUUUGCCUCUGAGGAACAGAGAGUCCGGGCUGAGGGAGAAGAGGACGAACUCCCAGCCCUUCGGGCCUGACAGUCCCCUGCAGCGAGAGCUCAGCACGCAUCCCCAGAGGCAAGUCCAGCAGGAGAAAGAAGGAAGAAAAGGUCCCUCCUGGCCUCCUCCUGCCCCGAGUUCCCUGACAGCUGGGACACACAGAAACACCAAGGAACGUUGCUGGCAGCGAGCAGGAGACACCGAGGCCUCUGUACAGCUCUGGGCCAGAAAAGCAGCCCCAGCUUCAGCAGCUGCCAUCGUUUUGGCCUGGCAAUACUCACCUGGAGGAAC